AAUCAAUCCACCGGUUUUGGUAAACAUUUUCUAAGAUCAGGUGGUUUUGGUAAAGCUUCCGUUAUAUAAAUCCAGAGAAACUAAAGUUGCUGUGGGGAAGUGUUUGAUUUAAUAACAUAAUAUCAACAUAUCACUGUGCUAAAAAGCAAUGCUAACUUCUAGACUUUAGACUAGAGUCCACAGUUUCUUAAAGCACUCUCAGAAAUAUGGCCACACUGACUUUGUGUUUUCCUAUAAGCAGCAUGUAUACUCUAGUUUAUGUUAUGGUGGGAGAUGCCACCAUGUGGUCAUUGUUGGAACUUUUAUUCCCUGUCCACAGUAAAGGUCCGUCCUUUCUGUGUUUUUGAAGCUUUGAUUGUGUUUACAGUGCACAAUAUUACAUGUGUUCACGUUUCACGUGUAAAACGCAUUAUUUUUCACACAAUUUACUUAUCUGUAUAGCGCUGUUUUCACUGUCCUAAAAGCAGGCUGAUGUCUUCCUUGUUCUAUGAAGUCCCUCCUUCAGAAAUAUGUAAGGAGUUCUGAUUGUGUAGUUUGUUUAAAGUGUUGUGAUUCGAUAGCAGCUUAGCUUAGCAGAGCCGUUUGGGCUUAGCUGGCGACUGAUGUAUUCCUGUGGGCGGGGUCUGACCGUCUGACAAACACUCUUGCUUUGACAUCAUUCAACCGGGAAGUAGAGGGCUGUAUUCCAAACCAGCCAUCCGCUAGGCCUCGAAACUUCUGUUAAAGAAAACAUAUCGCCUGGCAGUGAACUUUGAGCUUUAUCAUUUUGCAGGCUGACACAGUGGCUCGGUGCCUCACAGCAAGAAAGAGUGAUGGACUGUAAGUUGGACUGGCCAUUUAUCCAUGGUGUUCCCUGCUUGUGGCUCAGGAUGCUGGGAUGGCCUCCCUCCCCUCGUGACCCUGCAGUGGACACGCAGAUUUGCAGGAUAGAUGGAGAUCUUGCAUGAAGCUUACUUCCCGUACCAGAAGUGUUCUCAUGGUUCUAGCAAGCUGAGUGAUGUUGAGUGAGAUGACCCAGAACUAGAGGUCCUCCGGUGCCCAUUCACACACACACAUCCAUGGAUAAUGUAUAUUGUUUAGGACUGAGUGAAAUGUAGACAUUUGAAACACUCAGAAGGUUUACAUGUAUGGAACAAAUUUUUUUAAUGCAGGUUUUUUAACUAAGAUUUGGUAAAAUAUGAACAAACCCAUCUGUGUUGAGUUAAAUUAUCCACUAUGUGACCCAGCUAUGGGUUAAAACAAUGUGUUUUGCGUUUAAACAACCCACCAGGUUAAUUUAAAACAAAUAGUUAGAUUUGUCCAUAUUAAAUCUAACCAUUAAAAUAACUUUGGAUUUUUUUGGGUGUAUUCUAUUGGAAUAAAGACAAUCUACAAUUGAAAAGUUGAAAAAAGGUUGUAAACGUUUAAAUCGAUUUGACUUCCAUGUCUCAGUGGUGUAUUAAAAAAUACCAGAUGUAAAAUAAAUGGC